rnacentral:lncRNA from 1 species
AUAAUCGAGUGUUUGCUUUUGUCAGGUUUUUGGACUUCCCACUUUCCUUUUGCAAUUAACCUUUGAGUAUUUUUGUUGAUACUAUUUUGAACUACUACUGAAAAAUAAUUCAUUUAUAGAAAUGUAGAGUAACUAUUUCAAAAUCUUCAGCUGGUGAAUGUACUUGGUCAGAACUAAAUAGAACAUUUAUUCAAAAAUAAAAACAAAGCUAUGUUUGAUUUAUUUUUAUUUCCAAGUACCUGUAGAUACAUGUACAUAAAGUAUGAGAAAAAAAUCAGAUAGAUGAAAUAUUGGUACAAAUGAUCAGAAUAUGAAACAUGAAUUUUGCAUAGAUCAGUGGACACACGUUGUUUUUCAAGCAAUGAACCAAUGGUCAUAUGGUGUUAUAUGCAUUUUAAAAUACCAUACAUCAUUUUAAAUUAAACCUUAUAAAUUUUAAAAUAUUUUUAGUCCUAGAUCUUAAUAUAAUACAAAACUAUAAAUGCCUAUUACCAAAUGAUUACAAUGUAUUACAAUUAUUACCAAAUGAUUACAAUGUAUUACAAUUAUUACCAAAUGAUAACAAUGUAUUACAAUUUACUGUAUCUUAACAAAUUGAGAGAUAAUUAAGAUGUUAUUAGUAAAAAGAUCAACUGGAUCAAAGUUUUGUUGAAAACCAAUGAAUUUGUAUGACUUUGUUUGUCUUACAAUUGCCCAAAUGUUCUAGUGUUUUUUCUUUGUCACAAAGUUUGGGAAAAAUAUCUAAGACAAGUCAUUUUGAAACAUGUGUAAAUAUUGGCAACUCUUUGUGAAAGAAAAGAAAGUUGUCCAUUUGAUGAAAAUUGUAAAUACAUAAAUAUUAAACUGCUCCAAUUAUAUUGCUAAAUACAUACAUUUUAAAUAAUAACACCGGGAAAUCAAUUAUAAAGGAAAAGUAUGCAAGCUUUGUUAUAGGUUGGAAAAUCACUGCAUCCUGCUUAAACAGACUCUGACCCAUCAUCUUGCCAUAUACAUGGGAUCUGAACUUAUAGAUUCACAGUAAGAACUUUUAUCUUUUUAUAAAAUAAAUAAAUUUUAAUUUUACCCCAGAUGACAAGUAGAAUUGCUUUUAUAUAACUAUUUACUGAUAUUCCUUUAACAGCCAUCAUGCUAGUUAGACCAUGUGACUGUGGCCAAGUUUGGUUGAAUUUGUCUCUGUAGUUUCAGAGAAGAAAGAUUUUUGGAAAAGUUAACAAAAAUUUACGAAAAAAUGUAAAAAAUUGACUAUAAAGGGCAAUUACUCUUUCAGGGGUCAAUUGACAAUUUUGGUCGUGUUGACAUAUUGGAGAUCUUCCUUUGCUGAACAUAAUUGCUGUUUACAGUUUAUCUCC